rnacentral:lncRNA from 1 species
CUACACAUACACACACACACACACACACUUCUCUGCAAUUUCCGAACUUUUUGCGAUUCUCAUAUGAACAUUUCUUGCUAUUCUGCAGAAAUUUGACUUUGUCGCAUCACCUUGAAGUCAGCAAAUAAAUCCAGUUCAGUCAUACAGUUGAAAGUAGAAAUGUUGACUCUUAUCACUUGAGUCUCUAAUGAUAUCUGCAGUUAUCACGUAAACAAACACAUUGUUCAGAAACAUUGCAGAACAUGUAAAUCAUUGUUUCAACUAUUUUGCAACAGAGUCCAAGAUCAGAUAAGCAGCUUAAAAUGUUUUUUCUCUUAAAAUAAAAUAUCUUGAUAAGUUCUGUUUUAGCAGAUCGCUUUCGUAACAAUCUAUUAGGAUUAAGAGGGAAAAAAAAUCCAUAAACGUAUCUUCCUAGAAACUUCGUUACUCUUGAUAAGCUCGUUGACAUACAUUGAACCAUAAACAAGCUUACUUCUCCAACAAAAUAGAAGAACACAAAAAAAGAAAAAAAAAAGAAAACUUGAAACCGAAGUUAAGUGUUGAUUUUUGCUAAAACAAAAUCUUCUGUAUCGAUAGAAUAAAAAUGAGCAAAUGUGUAUAAUACUCCAUAGUUGUACGGCGAGAUUACCUCAAGCGCAAAAUCUUCAAAUUGAGCUAAAACAAGACCAAGUUCAGGCUUCCUUCAAAUCCAAUGAAAAAAAAAACUCGAU